ACCCUAAAAUCUAUAAGAGAAUCAACAAACAAGACCCAAUGUUCCCUCUCGGCACGUAGAAAAGAGUUUUAUCGAUGAUCGGACAAUGAAAACCCUAAACGAUUGGAAAGUAAAACGAAAAUUGAAAAGAGAGGCAUAGAGAACAGAAAUUUACCCCAAUUCAAAGACCUACUUGAGCGAAAAAGUGAUAAGAAGUGGAAGAAGGCGUCGGCGACGAAGACGACGAAGAAGUUCUGAACUGCUCGAUGUGUGGGAUCGUUUAUAUAGAAACCCAUAGAAAAUAAUUGUAGCCGUUGGAAGGUGAGGCAACGACCUCUUUGUAGGAGAAAAGUAGCCGUUGGAACGGUGAGGCACUGACGUGUUUUCGUUUGACGGUGCGGCAGUUACGCGGCGGAUGAUUAAAUGCAGGGACAUCUAGCGCCAGCUGGAGAAAGGUAAUCCUGCUAAUUCAUCAUUUCCGCGACAGCUGGAAAUAAAACCCAAUACAUCGGCGUUUCUGUCAUCACUUUCUGUUUGUUGACUCUCACUCACUUCUCCACACUUGGAUAAAAUUCUGAUUGGCUUCAUGAAACCUUAAUCAGAUAGAAAAAAUAAAGGUCAAAUACUUAAAUUGUCCUACAAAUUUGAAAUUAGUUAUCAAACAAUUUUGUAACUUUUA
rnacentral:lncRNA from 1 species